UACAGAGGUCUCAAGCGUUGUUCGGAUUCAUUGGGCGUAAAGAGCUCGUAGGCGGCUGUUCAAGUCGAACGUGAAAACUCGGAGCUCAACUCCGAGCCUGCGUUCGAUACUGGACGGCUAGAGUCUGGUAGGGGGAUCUGGAAUUCCUGGUGUAGCGGUGGAAUGCGCAGAUAUCAGGAGGAACACCGGUGGCGAAGGCGGGAUCCUGGGCCAGUACUGACGCUGAGGAGCGAAAGCAUGGGGAGCAAACAGG
rnacentral:rRNA from 1 species